AGUGAACGCUGGCGGCAGGCCUAACACAUGCAAGUCGAGCGGCAGCGGGUCCUUCGGGAUGCCGGCGAGCGGCGGACGGGUGAGGAAUGCGUCGGAAUCUGCCUUUUUGUGGGGGAUAACGUAGGGAAACUUACGCUAAUACCGCAUACGACCUACGGGUGCAAGUGGGGGACCGCGAGGCCUCACGCAGAAAGAUGAGCCGACGUCGGAUUAGCUAGUUGGCGGGGUAAAGGCCCACCAAGGCGACGAUCCGUAGCUGGUCUGAGAGGAUGAUCAGCCACACUGGAACUGAGACACGGUCCAGACUCCUACGGGAGGCAGCAGUGGGGAAUAUUGGACAAUGGGCGCAAGCCUGAUCCAGCCAUGCCGCGUGUGUGAAGAAGGCCUUCGGGUUGUAAAGCACUUUUGUCCGGAAAGAAAUCCUGUCGGCUAAUACCCGGCGGGGAUGACGGUACCGGAAGAAUAAGCACCGGCUAACUUCGUG
rnacentral:rRNA from 1 species